rnacentral:rRNA from 1 species
UACGGGGGGGGGCAAGCGUUGUUCGGAAUUACUGGGCGUAAAGGGCUCGUAGGCGGCCAACUAAGUCCGACGUGAAAUCCCCAGGCUUAACCUGGGAACUGCGUCGGAUACUGGUUGGCUUGAAUCCGGGAGAGGGAUGCGGAAUUCCAGGUGUAGCGGUGAAAUGCGUAGAUAUCUGGAGGAACACCGGUGGCGAAGGCGGCAUCCUGGACCGAGAUUGACGCUGAUGCGCGAAAGCCAGGGGAGCAAACGGGG